AUUCUUAUUGGAUUAUGACCUUUGAGAGUCGGAAUACAGUAUAAUAGGCGCCUUUAAAGAAAGUGAUGAGAAUUCUUUUCGGUUAGACCUCAGGAAAGCGCAGCGCAAAAUCGAAGGGUUUUCUUUGAAGAGAAUUACAGUGUUUUUCAAACUUGGCAACAAUAUUCUGGAAGUUGAAGAUUGCACAUCUUAAAAGAUGGGACUAUCUCAAGGGUGCCUUAAAGAUCCAUGUAUUGUGUGAAAUGGUAUCAUCCAGGCAUGUUGGAUAUGAUUCUGCUCAUCCCCAGCCUGUGGUCAUUGAAUUUCUCAAGCAGACAAGAUAACAAUAACCCAUUUCCAUUUUUCUGAUAUCUAGCCUGCGGUCCUUAUUAAAAUUUUCAGAUAAAUUCCCUAAGAUUAAUGAUAUUUCCUCCUGUUCUAGAAAAUAAAAUAAGCCCUGAUUGUGGUUGUCCUUGGGAGAGAAGCCAUGUGAACAGCAGCAGAGAGUGACAUUGCAUUAUAUUUUUUGAGCCUCCAAUGGCUCUAAAUUGCUAUCUUGGAACAAUAUAAUUUCUUCCCUGUAAAAUGUCAGUGUAAGCCAUUUGGUAUCAGAAAAUGUAUUUAAUAAACAAAGGAGAACAUUUUGACCUAAUGCUUCGGCAACUGUAGGGGGCACUCUUGCUUUAUGAAUAUCACAUCAAAAGUACAGACUUUUUGGGAACCGUUCAGAAAUUUUGGAAAUGGAUAUUCCCAAAUCCAAAGCAAGAGAAAAGAAGAAUGGAAUAUAUCCCAUAAUACAGUACAAUACAGUUAUGGAAACAGGAGUCACUUACAGUCAUAACAAUAAACUCUACUAUUC